rnacentral:rRNA from 1 species
GAUGAACGCUGGCGGCGUGCCUAAUACAUGCAAGUCGAGCGAACAGACGAGGAGCUUGCUCCUUUGACGUUAGCGGCGGACGGGUGAGUAACACGUGGAUAACCUACCUAUAAGACUGGGAUAACUUCGGGAAACCGGAGCUAAUACCGGAUAACAUGUUGAACCGCAUGGUUCAACAGUGAAAGACGGUCUUGCUGUCACUUAUAGAUGGAUCCGCGCCGCAUUAGCUAGUUGGUAAGGUAACGGCUUACCAAGGCAACGAUGCGUAGCCGACCUGAGAGGGUGAUCGGCCACACUGGAACUGGGACACGGUCCAGACUCCUACGGGAGGCAGCAGUAGGGAAUCUUCCGCAAUGGGCGAAAGCCUGACGGGGCAACGCCGCGUGAGUGAAGAAGGUCUUCGGAUCGUAAAACUCUGUUAUUAGGGAAGAACAAAUGUGUAAGUAACUAUGCACGUCUUGACGGUACCUAAUCAGAAAGCCACGGCUAACUACGUG